rnacentral:misc_RNA from 1 species
UGGUUCUGGCAUCGAUGAAGAACGCAGCGAAAUGCGAUAAGUAAUGUGAAUUGCAGAAUUCCGUGAAUCAUCGAAUCUUUGAACGCACAUUGCGCCCUUUGGUAUUCCGAAGGGCAUGCCUGUUCGAGCGUCAUUAAACCCCUCAAGCUCUUCUGCUUGGUGUUGGGCUCUGUCAUCAGACAAGCCUGAAAAUCAGUGGCGGUGACUUAUGGUCCUCAAGCGUAGUAAUCUAUUUUCUCUUGCAGAACCAGUGGUUAUCAGUCAAAACCCACCUAUAUUUCUCUAGGUUGACCUCGGAUCAGGUAGGAAUACCCGCUGA